AUUUUUUAAAUUUUAACUUAAUUCAUUUGUGUAUUUUGUGGUCUGUGUGAGUGUAUGGUGUAUGUGUGCAGGUAGCCAAGGGAGCCAGAAGCAGGGCUCGGAUCUCGAGUCACAGGGAGUUGUGGGCCACCUGAUGUGGGUGCUGGGGAUGGAACUCAGGUCCUCUGUGAGUGCUCUUACCCAUGAGCCAUCUUUCCAGCCUCUGAACUUCAGUCUUUAGGGGGAAAAACACCAACAAACAAAGUUAUGUGUUCCAUUCUCUUACUUUAAUGUUCUUUUUCCUGGGAGAAGGGAUGGAACCAUGUUUGAUAUUUGUGUUGUGGUGGUGUUGUUGUUUCAAGAGACAGGGUUUUGCUGUGUUGCCAGUCUGGCCUCAGACUCUUUUUUUUGUUUUCUUUUUUGUUUUCUUGAGACAGGGUUUCUCUUUGUAGCCUUGGCUAUAUUGGAACUUGCUCUGUAGACCAGGCUGGCCUCAAACUCACAGAGAUCUGCUUGCCUCUGCCUCCCGAGUGCUAGGAUUAAAGGAGUGAGCCACCACCACCACCGGUCACGGCCUCAGACUCUGAAGGCUGAUGCAGCCCUACUGUCUCGGCCCCCUGAGUAGCUGGGACGACAGGUGCCCAGCUAUAUGGUGUUUUUUUUGUUGUUGUUUGGUCGGUUGUUCUGGUGGUACCGAGGAUCAAACCCAGGUGCUCAGGCACGCUGACUCCAUUUCUCAGGCUGUCAACUUUUGUCAGGAAGCAGUCGUAAGAAGCCUUAGUCAUGAGCCCUCGCCCACUCCCCCACCGGCUCCCUUUCUUUGCUUUAUUGCUCGUAGAUGAUUUCUCCCUGUUCCAUUUUUGCUUGUUUUCAAGGACAGCGCAAGCCGUGAAAGUUAUCUUCUGGCUGUGCUGGCUGAGGACUUUUUAAGCCUUCUUGAAACGGGGCCGUCACUCAUCCUCAUGGCUUGAUGAGAGACCAAAAGGUGGCGGCUCAGGUGCGGCUCUCUCCUUCCCUCCUCAGCUCAGCUUCUGUGAACUUCGUGGGAAGGGCUUUAGAAUUAUCUGCAUAGGGGGGCCAAUGCCCCUGGUGUUCUUGGAAGUGGCUUCAGGGCGCAGGUGUUGGGCCUCCUUUGCAGUGACUUUACAUGCCACGUUUCCACUGUCAUAGUAGUUUUGUGGACCAGGCUUCCCUGUGGAGUGAGGAGACGAUAAUUCGGGUGACUCUGCUUCCCUGUCCCUGCCAGAAGGGUUCGACAGCUUGACUGUGGAGUCAUGUUGCUGCUCCUCGUGGUAUCGUCUCCAAAGUCUCCACAUAGACUUUGAGCCAGGCCGGCAUGCAACUUCCUGAAGGACUGCUUCCCUCCUCCUCGGAACGGGGAAGGCCACAGCUGCACCAGGAUCCUAUACCAGCCAGGUCUCACUUCCUUAUUUAUAAAGGGUGAGAAUCAGACAAGAUUGCCUCUAAGAUCCCUUUUGUCACCAGCCAAUGGGCUAAAGAAGACUAAAACACAUGAGCAGGACAUGCUGGUCUAUACCUAACUUCCCAGCACUUGGGGGCCAGAGGCAGGAGGAUUGCUGUGAGUUCCAGGCCAGCCAUGAACAUGAUGCGAUCCUGUCUCAAAAAUAAAGCAUAUGCGGUUUUGUGACUAUCCUGCCGCCGUCUAAUGGGCUAUGGGACUUCCUGGUAACCACAGCCUCACCCAGAUCCUGGCUAAGGGCAUACUGAGCCAGCAGGUUUACCAGGAAGCUGUUGAGCAUGCGCAGAAGCAUUUUCUGCAGGAUGCACUUCUUCUGGACCGUUGCCAAGGGUUUUCCAUUCUUCUGUGGUAGGCGUUUCUUGAAUGUUGUCGUGUAACCAAACAAAGAGCAUUUGCUUAAAGGGUAGAAAAUGGUGAAAAUCCAUGUUUUCUUUUUUAAAAAGCAGGUUAAGCUGGGCAGUAGUGGUGGUGGCGCACACCUUUAAUCCCAGCACUCAGGAGGCAGAGGCAGGCAGAUCUCUGUGAGUUCGAGGCCAACCUGGUCUACUGAGCUCCAGAACAGCCAGGGCUACACAGAGUAACCCUGUCUCUAAGACACAAACAAACAAACAAAAAAACCAUAAAACAAAACAAAACAAAAAACGGUUGAACAGCAAUCCAAGCCAAAGACAAGACCAAGAGAGACCCCACUAUUCCUCCAAGUGUGUUUCAGUUAAAGUAUUGUGAUUUUAUUUUCCCUUGUAACAGAGUCAUAACUUUUCUGAAGUUUUGAUAUACUAGUAAUACUGUUUUCUAGAAAGUAAUCCCCAAGGCCUGCUUUCCUCUGAUGUCAUUAGAUGGUUUUCAAAACUGAAUUUUCACUUUAGACAUUUCUCAUGCUUUUUAAAACAGUAUGGGAGCCCCUGGCAAGUGUAAAGGAAACCUGGAAGUAUAGAGAAAUUUCUGAGACAGAAUUUCUUUGUCACUUCUAAUUCCCAAAUUCUGCUUACAAGAGAAAAAAAAAAUCUGAAAAAUGUUUUUGUUUGGAGCAGACAAUACUUUUUUUCCCCCCAGAGACAGGUAGUUUUGGUGUCUUUCCUGGAACUCACUCUGUAGCCCAGGCUGGUCUCCAAUUCACAAAGGUGUACCUGCCUCUGCCUCCCGAGUGCUGAGAUCAAAGGCGUGCGUGGCUGCUAGAGCAGACAAUACUUUAAGACUACUGCUAAUUCAUAGGGAUGGAGAGACAGGACAGUGGUAAAGAGCACUUACUCUGGCAGAGGACUCAAAUUCUGUUCCUAUAAAGGAUGGCUCACAACCACCUGUAACUCCAGGUCCAGGGGAUCCAAUACCAUCUUCUGAUCUCUGAGGGCACUUUUACCCACCUGUACAUAUCCACACACAGACACAGACACAGACACAGACACAGACACAGACAUACACACACACACACACACACACACACACACACACACACACACACACGCUAGUUAAAAAUGGGAUGUCUUUCUGUACGCUGUGAAUAGUGUUGCUCUGAUUGGUUGAUAAAUAAAGCUGCAUUGGCCUGUGGCAGGGCAGGAUAGGUUAGGUGGUACAUUCAAACUGAAGACAAGAUGAAGAAAAGUGAAGUCGGGGGAGACUCGAGCUUGAGGCCCAAGGAGCAACAAGGUGCCAGCAGACCGGUAACGCCAUGGCCACGUGGCAACAUAUAGGUUAAUAAAAUGGGUUGAGUUAAGUUAUAAGAGCUAGCUAGCAAGAAGCCUGACCCAUAGGCCAUAUAAUUUUGUAGGGCCCUGCCCGCCCCCCCUCCCGUUUUGGGUAGCUGUUGCCUUGCUUGCUGACCUUAACCUUGAUGUCCUUCCUAUGCUAAUCCCCUGCCAGUUUCCUCCUUCCUGAGGUUCUUUGUGUAUUCUGCAUUUGGUGUAAACAGCUUAGAUGCCAGAAUGUAAAACAUCGGUAGGGUUCUCCCAUUGUGCUGUAAGCCUGUAUUUAAGGUUUCCUUCCUUCUUCAAUAAACGACAUUCUGCACUCUGCUGAGGCGAAUGACCCGCCGUCUCUUGUCUCUGUUUUUUGAUCCACAGCCCCUCACUCGGACAUGGCAUGGUGAACGGGUGGUGGUAGCGUGGGCGUUACCGCUACAUAAUUUACAAUUAAUAUUAAGCCUCUGAGUGAUUAUUUUAUAAGCAGCUUCAGGACCUCGGGGCUGGGUGGGACUGGAGAAACUUACGGCUACAAUACAUCAUUAAAAACUAUUGCUAAUUCAAUGUUAAAUUCUAAGCUUAAAUUUUGACACACUAAAAAAAUACAUAAAUAUUGCUCCACCAGUUAUUUUCCUUCCUUCCUUC